GACGAACGCUGGCGGCGUGCUUAACACAUGCAAGUCGAACGGAAAGGCCCUGCUUUUGUGGGGUGCUCGAGUGGCGAACGGAUGAGUAACACGUGAGUAACCUGCCCUUGACUUUGGGAUAACUUCAGGAAACUGGGGCUAAUACCGGAUAGGAGCUCCUGCUGCAUGGUGGGGGUUGGAAAGUUUCGGCGGUUGGGGAUGGACUCGCGGCUUAUCAGCUUGUUGGUGGGGUAGUGGCUUACCAAGGCUUUGACGGGUAGCCGGCCUGAGAGGGUGACCGGCCACAUUGGGACUGAGAUACGGCCCAGACUCCUACGGGAGGCAGCAGUGGGGAAUAUUGCACAAUGGGCGGAAGCCUGAUGCAGCAACGCCGCGUGCGGGAUGACGGCCUUCGGGUUGUAAACCGCUUUCAGCAGGGGCGAAGCUUGUGGUGACGGUACCUGCAGAAGAAGCACCGGCUAACUACGUG
rnacentral:rRNA from 1 species